CACGUAGAAGACUAGUGGUUAUUCAUCUUUAUUACGGUUUAAAGGGUACCUAGACGGAAAAAUCAAGCCAUUAUAGGAACUAAUUUCUAGAGUUUUAUUAAGAGAAGGGCGAAUUUCGUGGAGGAAAGUUGAUAGUUUGUGAUACGUGGAAGGAACGGGUAACGGCGAAGGCAACCUUUAUGUAAAACUGACGUUGAGGACGAAGCCUUGGGUAACGAGAAGG
rnacentral:rRNA from 1 species